ensembl:snRNA U1 U1 spliceosomal RNA
AUACUUCCCUGACAGGGGAGAUACCAUGAUCACAAAGGUGGUUUUCCCAGGACGAGGCUUAUCCAUUGCACUCUGGAUGUGCUGAUCCAUGGGAUUUCCCCAAAUGUGGGAAACUUGACUGCAUAAUUUGUGGUAGUGGGGGACUGUGUUUGUGCUUUCUCCGG